CAGUCGCCGCGGUAAUACGUAGGGUGCAAGCGUUAAUCGGAAUUACUGGGCGUAAAGCGUGCGCAGGCGGUUUGUUAAGACAGAUGUGAAAUCCCCGGGCUCAACCUGGGAACUGCAUUUGUGACUGGCAAGCUAGAGUAUGGCAGAGGGGGGUGGAAUUCCGCGUGUAGCAGUGAAAUGCGUAGAUAUGCGGAGGAACACCGAUGGCGAAGGCAGCCCCCUGGGCCAAUACUGACGCUCAUGCACGAAAGCGUGGGGAGCAAACAGGAUUAGAUACCCCAGUAGUCCCUGUCUCUUAUAC
rnacentral:rRNA from 1 species